UACGUAGGGGGCAAGCGUUGUCCGGAAUCAUUGGGCGUAAAGAGCGCGUAGGCGGCCCUGUAAGUCCGCUGUGAAAGUCAAGGGCUCAACCCUUGAAUGCCGGUGGAUACUGCAGGGCUAGAGUCCGGAAGAGGCGAGUGGAAUUCCUGGUGUAGCGGUGAAAUGCGCAGAUAUCAGGAGGAACACCGAUGGCGAAGGCAGCUCGCUGGGACGGUACUGACGCUGAGGCGCGAAAGCUAGGGGAGCAAACGGG
rnacentral:rRNA from 1 species